GUGUUGUUGUUAGGAAUGAUGGGUGUUCAAACACCCGGCCACGUCUGGUCUGUGUUAUGUGUGAUGUUUUUUUGCUUUGUAGUUCAUUGGUUAAGUUCUUUUUUACUGAUUUUUAUAGUUCGUCCUUAUGUUGUGAUGUUAUGACGCUGUCUAAGGUUGGCACAUUGAGAUAGGCUUCAGCGCUCACACACAUGAUCAACCCGACUACAUUCUAUAUGUAUGAAUUUUCACACU
rnacentral:lncRNA from 1 species